UCUCCUUCCCGGUCGCCUUGGUGUCUCCGUGGAUGGCGAACUUCUUAAAGGACUCCAGGAGCAGCGCAGUGUCCGAGCUUUCUGCCAUCCUGACAAAUCCCGGUAAAAAAAUCGAGAUUUUUUUUUCUUGCUGUAAGAAAAACCGUGAACGCUGGGUCCGCCUGCUUCGCCUGUGUCCCCGGCAACAGAAAAGCCCGCUUUAAAGGCCAGAGGCUUAUUAUCUUCUGUUUACGCCCGUAUCCAUAGAGACAUCCUGUUUGACAUCAAGGGAGCGCAGUAAAAA